rnacentral:rRNA from 1 species
GAUGAACGCUGGCGGCGUGCCUAAUACAUGCAAGUCGAGCGAACGGACGAGAAGCUUGCUUCUCUGAUGUUAGCGGCGGACGGGUGAGUAACACGUGGAUAACCUACCUAUAAGACUGUGAUAACUUCGGGAAACCGGAGCUAAUACCGGAUAAUAUUUUGAACCUCAUGGUUCAAAAGUGAAAGACGGUCUUGCUGUCACUUAUAGAUGGAUCCGCGCUGCAUUAGCUAGUUGGUAAGGUAACGGCUUACCAAGGCAACGAUGCAUAGCCGACCUGAGAGGGUGAUCGGCCACACUGGAACUGAGACACGGUCCAGACUCCUACGGGAGGCAGCAGUAGGGAAUCUUCCGCAAUGGGCGAAAGCCUGACGGAGCAACGCCGCGUGAGUGAUGAAGGUCUUCGGAUCGUAAAACUCUGUUAUUAGGGAAGAACAUAUGUGUAAGUAACUGUGCACAUCUUGACGGUACCUAAUCAGAAAGCCACGGCUAACUACGUG